AGAGUUUGAUCCUGGCUCAGAUUGAACGCUGGCGGCAUGCCUUACACAUGCAAGUCGAACGGUAACAGCUCUUCGGAGGCUGACGAGUGGCGAACGGGUGAGUAAUACAUCGGAACGUGCCCGAUCGUGGGGGAUAACGGAGCGAAAGCUUUGCUAAUACCGCAUACGAUCUACGGAUGAAAGCAGGGGAUCGCAAGACCUUGCGCUGAUUGAGCGGCCGAUAUCAGAUUAGCUAGUUGGUGAGGUAAAGGCUCACCAAGGCGACGAUCUGUAGCGGGUCUGAGAGGAUGAUCCGCCACACUGGAACUGAGACACGGUCCAGACUCCUACGGGAGGCAGCAGUGGGGAAUUUUGGACAAUGGGGGCAACCCUGAUCCAGCCAUGCCGCGUGAGUGAAGAAGGCCUUCGGGUUGUAAAGCUCUUUCGGCCGGGAAGAAAUCGCAUGGGUUAAUACCCUGUGCGGAUGACGGUACCGGCAUAAGAAGCACCGGCUAACUACGUGCCAGCAGCCGCGGUAAUACGUAGGGUGCGAGCGUUAAUCGGAAUUACUGGGCGUAAAGCGUGCGCAGGCGGUUUGUUAAGACAGGCGUGAAAUCCCCGGGCUCAACCUGGGAACUGCGCUUGUGACUGGCAGGCUAGAGUACGGCAGAGGGGGGUGGAAUUCCACGUGUAGCAGUGAAAUGCGUAGAGAUGUGGAGGAACACCAAUGGCGAAGGCAGCCCCCUGGGUCGAUACUGACGCUCAUGCACGAAAGCGUGGGUAGCAAACAGGAUUAGAUACCCUGGUAGUCC
rnacentral:rRNA from 1 species